rnacentral:rRNA from 1 species
GGUGUAGUUGAUUCAAAUACUCUAACAAUCUAUCUCAGGAUUGGGGAUUAUAUAUCGAUAUGAUGAUGUGUUGUGCCAGCAAUCGCGGUAAUACCUUCAGAUCUCUCAACUGUUGCUUUCGAAGUCAGAUUAUUUGACACAGUGAUUUAUUUUUACAUGUAAUAAGUGUUAGGUUUUAGACUACAUAAGUGAGUUAGUGUGCAUAGUGUUGUGGUAAAAUACAUAGCUAGGCAGGUUUUAUAGGUACAAGAAUGAGUAGAUAGCCUUGUAAGAAACUAGGAUUAGAUACCCUAUUAUCAAGGAGAAAUGUGUGUACAAUCUAGUAGGCAAGGUGAGUAGAAAGCUGAGAAGUUAAGAAGCAUGGCGGUCUGUUGGCAAGAUAGAGGGAUAUGCCUAGUAAGUGAAACCGCACAGAUCCCUUACUUUCCUUGGAGUGAGUCAUUUUGUACACCGCUAUCUGAAAUAUGGGGCAAGUCGGCCUGUUUUUUAUCUCAUGUUAGUUUAUCGUUGUAAUCAAGUUGUGUGAAUGUCAAGUGCAGAAUCAUUGUAUUGCAUCUACGUUGAUAUGUAAGACCUAUAAGUUAAGUUGAGGUGCAGACUAUAGGAGAGUCAUGGUGUGUUCCAGUGUUAUGUUUAGAGUUAUAGGAUGUAAAUAUAUCCAUGUAGUCAUAGAAUUUAUAAGUAAAGAGGGCUCACAAUCCUCUCUUGAAAGGUGCAACAGCAGAUGUACAAAUCGCCCGUCACUCCGUCGUUGGAGAAGUCGUAACACAGUUGGCCCGCCGGAAGGGAGGCCAGAAUACAG